UACGUAGGGUGCGAGCGUUGUCCGGAAUUAUUGGGCGUAAAGAGCUCGUAGGCGGUUUGGUAAGUCUGGUGUGAAAUCUCCACGCUCAACGUGGAGGGGCCACCCGAUACUGCCAUGACUGGAGUCCGGUAGAGGAGUGUGGAAUUCCUGGUGUAGCGGUGGAAUGCGCAGAUAUCAGGAGGAACACCGAUGGCGAAGGCAGAUCUCUGGGCCGUAACUGACGCUGAGGAGCGAAAGCAUGGGGAGCGAACAGG
rnacentral:rRNA from 1 species